AACGAACGCUGGCGGCAUGCCUAACACAUGCAAGUCGAACGAGACCUUCGGGUCUAGUGGCGCACGGGUGCGUAACGCGUGGGAACCUGCCCUUAGGUUCGGAAUAACUCCCCGAAAGGGGUGCUAAUACCGGAUAAUGUCUUCGGACCAAAGAUUUAUCGCCUUUGGAUGGGCCCGCGUUGGAUUAGCUAGUUGGUAGGGUAAAAGCCUACCAAGGCGACGAUCCAUAGCUGGUCUGAGAGGAUGAUCAGCCACACUGGGACUGAGACACGGCCCAGACUCCUACGGGAGGGAGCAGUGGGGAAUAUAGGACAAUGGGCGAAAGCCUGAUCCAGCAAGGCCGGGUGAGUGAUGAAGGCCUUAGGGUUGUAAAGCUCUUUUACCCGGGAUGAUAAUGACAGUACCGGGAGAAUAAGCACCGGCUAACUCCGUG
rnacentral:rRNA from 1 species